rnacentral:rRNA from 1 species
UACAGAGGUCCCAAGCGUUGUUCGGAUUCACUGGGCGUAAAGCGUGCGUAGGUGGUGAGUUAAGUCUGUCGUGAAAGCCCCGGGCUCAACCUGGGAAUGGCGAUGGAUACUGGCUCGCUAGAGUGCGGUAGAGGAGAGUGGAAUUCCCGGUGUAGCAGUGAAAUGCGUAGAGAUCGGGAGGAACAUCAGUUGCGAAGGCGGCUCUCUGGGACGGUACUGACGCUGAGACGCGAAAGCGUGGGGAGCGAACAGG